AGAAUCAACGCUGGCGGCGUGCCUAACACAUGCAAGUCGAACGAGAAAGUGGAGCAAUCCAUGAGUAAAGUGGCGACCGGGCGAGUAACACGUGACUAACCUACCCUAGAGUGGGGAAUAACUUCGGGAAACCGAGGCUAAUACCGCAUAACAUCGCAGAGGGAAGCUCUUUGCGAUCAAAGGAGUAAUUCGCUCAAGGAGGGGGUCGCGGCUGAUUAGCUAGUUGGUGAGGUAACGGCCCACCAAGGCUAAGAUCAGUAUCCGGCCUGAGAGGGCGCGACGGACGACACUGGAACUGAAACACGGUCCAGACUCCUACGGGAGGCAGCAGUGGGGAAUUUUGCGCAAUGGGGGAAACCCUGACGCAGCAACGCCGCGUGGAGGAUGAAGUCCCUUGGGAUGUAAACUCCUUUCGAUCGGGACGAUUAUGACGGUACCGGAAGAAGAAGCACGGCUAACUUCGUGCCAGCAGCCGC
rnacentral:rRNA from 1 species